rnacentral:lncRNA from 1 species
CUGAGGUGUUUUAGAGGGCUGCAAGGAAGGUCAGCUGUGCUGCAAAAAUUUUGCCUGGGCUCUUUUCAGUUAAUUUGUGCCUUCAGACCUCAGAUUUAUGUUUUAAGCUUAAACGAGCUCUUACACGUACGUAAGCUUAAUAAAUCUGGACCAAAGCCUCCUCUACUGUUACACUCAUUGCAACAGAAAGCGAACAAGAGAGGAAGAGGGGACAAGAAGUGCAACAGAGAAGAUCAUGCCUGAAAACAAUCCACUACUUUGAAUGCCAACGAGGCGAAGUUCAGCAGGUCAGAUAACCCCCGGCAGAAAGAAGGGGAACACAGCGGUAAGACUGUAUGCUUUCAUUGCCUCCGCUGAGCAAAAUUAAAACCACAUUACACCGAACGUUACCGGCGACACUGAGCAAAGGAACUGUGAGAGCCCUGCACUUGCUCACGUUGCCUCAGCAGGCAGGGAGGAGGGGAGGUUACGGAGCAGCUCUCCACCCGUCCCAUCUCAGCAGCUCCACAACGGGCACGGGAGAUCCGGCGGUCCCGGGACAGACACGGCAGCCCCAUCCCGGCACGGCACUGGGAAAGCCGCCAGGAGCCUCGCCCAAGCCCGGCCCCACCGAGGUGCCCUAAGGCUGCUCAGAGGGGCAGGCUGCGAGCGAUGGGAGUGCUGGGCGAGGAGGAGUUACCCGCUGUCCCCAACAACGUGCGACAAAGAAACCUUGGAGAUCCUCAGUAAAACUGUGGUUGGUGUUACUGUGCUGUCAGAAAUAGCAAUUCCUACAUGGAAAAGGAUGGAAGUGUGGAGCAGUAGCGUUGCAAAACAGGACCAGCUGAACCAGCAGCUUAGAUCCGCUGGGGCCUGCCGUGCUCAGGACACAUCAGGACUGCCAGCAUAGGAUGAUGUCACCGCUACAGAAACUGAAGUGGGAUCCUGCAGCAAUUCAGCCUCAAAAGUCUCAGACCGCAUCUCUAGGACCUUGAAUUCAGAGAGGACAUGUGCAUUCUUACCAAGCUGCUAUCAACUAGCAUCAACGACUUCUUUUAGCCAGACAUUACCUGAAGACAGAAGCUUGUGAGUGCGUAAGAAACUGAUUGCCAGGCGCAUUAUGGAUGCCUUGUCCAGGUGGGAACUGACAUUGUGGGGCAGGGGCAGUUCAUGAGCCAGUUCGUAGAAUACUUCUGUCUCUUUGCUCCUCCUGCAUCUUGCAGCAUCUCUCGAUUUCUCCUUCCUCCGCUCAGAACUGCUCCUCUUCUUCUCCUUGUCAGCUGUCAUCGCGGCGGCUGUCGGCUCCUGCGCCGCCUCUCGGGCCGGGGCGGGCUCAGCACCUGCACGCGGGACGCGGGGCUCCGCGGGCGGCCGGCCGGGGUCGGCCGGGGUCGGCGUGGCCGGGUCGCCCCCGAGGCGGGCGUACAGUCUCAGGACACUGCCGAGGAUUGUACGGCCCGCCCGGGGGAGGCAGCGGCGGCGACGCGACGGGCGGGAGCGGCUCGGCGGCG